GUCAACUGCUGGCUUACCAUCCGAAGAAAAGCAAAGAGAAUUGCGCUCAGACCCAUACGCAAGAUGACCUGAUCUCCUGGGCCCUGCGGAUGGGAUUAGAGCCCUUGGCCGCCUGGGACUUCCUGAGUCCAGAGGAGCCCCCACUUGACCUCCCAGCGCGCCGCCUUCGCGGAGGUCGAUGUCACUGAAAGUCGGAGGGGAGAAAAGCAAAACUCUGCAUGGGAACGGAAGGCAGCGGCAGGGAGACCAGCCAGUGGCCACGUGGGCAGGACCGGAACCCCGGCGCCCAAGAAGACGGGGCACCACC